rnacentral:rRNA from 1 species
GGGUUGUGAGGUUAAGCGACUAAGCGUACACGGUGGAUGCCCUGGCAGUCAGAGGCGAUGAAGGACGUGCUAAUCUGCGAUAAGCGUCGGUAAGGUGAUAUGAACCGUUAUAACCGGCGAUUUCCGAAUGGGGAAACCCAGUGCAAUCCGUUGCACUAUCGUUAACUGAAUACAUAGGUUAACGAGGCGAACCGGGGGAACUGAAACAUCUAA